CGUACAUGAUAUAUUUUCUUAUCCUAAUGGGAAAUAGUUUGGCAUCCACUGAUGCUUUCCUAUACAUUUUUAUUAGUCAAAUAAUAUCCACUUGUAAUCCACUUUUGCAUCCCUUUGAACUUUAUAUGGAUAAUGUGCGAGGAGAAAGAAUAAAUAAGAGGUGGAUACUUAUACCCCUGGAGUGCUCAUCAUGUAGACGAUACUAUUAACAGACGUCUGAGCCAUCCAUGCAUUGUGAGAAUGAUGGGAGCGUCAAGGACAGCAACUGAACUUUUGAUAGCCAAUGAGUACAUACAAGGGAAUAAUCUGGAUAGCAUCCUUCACAACCAAUCUGCAAAAGUGCUAGAUGAAGAAACAAAACAGGCCAUUGGGUUCCAGGUUUGCUUGGCUGUUGAGUACAUCCAUUCAAAGAGCAUUAUACACCAGGACAUUAAACCAGGCAACAUUAUUGUGGAGGAAAAAGGCAAGAGAGCUUUUUUAACUGAUUGGGGCAUGGCAAACAUUCAUGACACAGUUUCCCUGAAAAUAGGCAGCCAGACCAUUGUUCCACCUGCUGGUCCUCUCGGUGGAACAAUCUACUACCGUGCUCCUGAAUGUGAGCUACACUACAAUCCUGCAACAUGGCAUUCAGAUGUGUGGUCUGUUGGUGCUACCUUUGUAGAGCUUUUUACAGGUUCUCGGCCUUGGAAUGUAAGACAACCUCGUGAAGUUAAAGCACUGCUUUCUUCACAGACUGAGCCCCAUGCUUUGGCCUUGCUUUCCCCAACAUGGAAAGACACUAUAAACCAGUGCCUUAUGUAUGAACCAGAACACCGACCCACAGCAAGUACACUGGCCAAGGUUUUCCGGUCUGGGCUUGACCUCCAAACACUUGGUUGGUAAAUUUAUUUUUGAGGGAGUAAUGGACUUCUCAGGACUGUGCAGGCAACUGAAGUCAUAGGCAAUUUAAAUAAUGUUCCUGAAACCAUUUUGUUAUUAUGCUUAAAAUGCUGAAAUUAUUUCCCUGGU